rnacentral:rRNA from 1 species
UCCUGGCUCAGAUUGAACGCUGGCGGCAGGCUUAACACAUGCAAGUCGAACGGCAGCACGGGCUUCGGCCUGGUGGCGAGUGGACGGAACGGGUGAGUAAUGCAUCGGAACGUCGCCCUAUUUGGUGGGGGAUAACUACGCGAAAGCGUGGCUAAUACCGCAUACGCCCUGGAGGGGGAAAGGCGGGGGAUUCUUCGGAACCUCGCGCAAUUGGAGCGGCCGAUGUCAGAUUAGCUUGUUGGUGAGGUAAAGGCUCACCAAGGCGACGAUCUGUAGCGGGUCUGAGAGGAUGAUCCGCCACACUGGGACUGAGACACGGCCCAGACUCCUACGGGAGGCAGCAGGUGGGGUAAUUUUGGACAAUGGGGGCAACCCCUGAUCCAGCCAUGCCGCGUGAGUGAAGAAGGCCUUCGGGUUGUAAAGCUCUUUCAGCCGGGAAGAAAACGCACUCUCUAACAUAGGGUGUGGAUGACGGUACCGGAAGAAGAAGCACCGGCUAACUACGUG